AACGCGAAGAACCUUACCCAGGCUUGAACUGCGAGUGACAUCCUACGAAAGUAGGCUUCCGCAAGGACACUCGUAGAGGUGCUGCAUGGCUGUCGUCAGCUCGUGUCGUGAGAUGUUGGGUUAAGUCCCGCAACGAGCGCAACCCUUGUCUUCUGUUGCCAUCGGGUUAUGCCGGGCACUCUGAAGAGACUGCCGGUGACAAACCGGAGGAAGGUGGGGAUGACGUCAAGUCAGCAUGGCCUUUAUGUCUGGGGCCACACACGUGCUACAAUGGCCGGUACAAACCGUUGCAAACUCGCGAGGGUGAGCUAAUCGGAGAAAGCCGGUCUCAGUUCGGAUUGUAGGCUGCAACUCGCCUGCAUGAAGUUGGAAUCGCUAGUAAUCGCGGAUCAGCACGCCGCGGUGAAUACGUUCCGGGGUCUUGUACACACCG
rnacentral:rRNA from 1 species